rnacentral:misc_RNA from 1 species
GAUGAAGAACGCAGCGAAAUGCGAUAAGUAAUGUGAAUUGCAGAAUUCAGUGAAUCAUCGAAUCUUUGAACGCACAUUGCGCCCGCCAGUAUUCUGGCGAGCAUGCCUUUUCGAGCGUCAUUUCAACCAUCAAGCCCCAGGCUUGUGUUGGAGCCCUGCGGCUGCCGCAGCCUCCCAAAACCAGUGGCGGGCUCGCUAUCACACCGAGUGCAGUAGUUUACUCUUCGCUCAGGGCGUGUGGCGGGUGCUAGCCGUGAAACCCCCAACUUCUCAAGGUUGACCUCGGAUCAGGUAGGAAUACCCGCUGAACUUAAGCAUAUCAAUAAGCGGAGGA